CGAGUUGGUCGGGCGGCCGCGGCGACGGGAACGGGCACGCUGGUGUCGCAGCCCGGCGCCGAGGAAAGUCCGGACUCCACAGAGCAGGGCGGUUGCUAACGGCAACCCGGGGUGACCCGCGGGACAGUGCCACAGAAAACAGACCGCCCACGGCCCUGCGGGGCCGUGCGGUGAGGGUGAAACGGUGCGGUAAGAGCGCACCAGCGCCCCGGGUGACCGGGGCGGCUCGGUAAACCCCGCCCGGAGCAAGGUCGAAGGUCGCAUUCGUUCGCGAGUGCGGCUGCGCAGGCGCUCGAGGGCUGCUCGCCCGAGCCUGCGGGUGGACCGCUCGAGGCACCCGGCGACGGUGUGCCCAGAUGGAUGGCCGCCACCCGGUGCGAACCGGGGACAGGAUCCGGCUUACAGACCAACUCGUCCG
rfam:Nocardia farcinica IFM 10152 DNA, complete genome.